UAGCCUGACCGAGCAACGCCGCGUGAGUGAUUAAGGCCUUCGGGUUGUAAAGCUCUGUUGUAAGGGAAGAACAUUCAGGAUAGGAAAUGAUCUUGAACUGACGGUACCUUACCAGAAAGCCACGGCUAACUACGUGCCAGCAGCCGCGGUAAUACGUAGGUGGCAAGCGUUAUCCGGAAUUAUUGGGCGUAAAGGGUGCGUAGGCGGUUUAUUAAGUCUAUGGUGAAAGUGCGGGGCUCAACCCCGUAUGGCCAUANAAACUGGUAGACUUGAGUGCAGGAGAGGGCAAUGGAAUUCCAUGUGUAGCGGUAAAAUGCGUAGAUAUAUGGAGGAACACCAGUGGCGAAGGCGGUUGCCUGGCCUGUAACUGACGCUGAAGCACGAAAGCGUGGGGAGCAAAUAGGAUUAGAUACCCUAGUAGUCCACGCCGUAAACGAUGAAUACUAAGUGUUGGAGAAAUUCAGUGCUGCAGUUAACGCAAUAAGUAUUCCGCCUGGGGAGUAUGCACGCAAGUGUGAAACUCAAA
rnacentral:rRNA from 1 species